rnacentral:rRNA from 1 species
GAUGAACGCUGGCGGCGUGCCUAAUACAUGCAAGUCGAUCGAAUGGAUUAAGAGCUUGCUCUUAUGAAGUUAGCGGCGGACGGGUGAGUAACACGUGGGUAACCUGCCCAUAAGACUGGGAUAACUCCGGGAAACCGGGGCUAAUACCGGCUAACGUUUUGAACCGCAUGGUUCGCACUUGAACGGGCGCUUCGGCUGUCCCGUCUGGAAGGACGCGCGUCGCAUUGGCUAGUGGGUGAGGUAACGGCUCACCAAGGCAACGAUGCGUAGCCGACCUGAGAGGGUGAUCGGCCACACUGGGACUGAGACACGGCCCAGACUCCUACGGGAGGCAGCAGUAGGGAAUCUUCCGCAAUGGACGAAAGUCUGACGGAGUAACGCCGCGUGAGUGAUGAAGGCUUUCGGGUCGUAAAACUCUGUUGUUAGGGAAGAACAAGUGCUAGUUGAAUAAGCUGGCACCUUGACGGUACCUAACCAGAAAGCCACGGCUAACUACGUGCCAGCCGCCGCCGUAA